rnacentral:tRNA from 1 species
GAAGGUAUAGCUCAGUGGUAGAGUACCUGCCUAGCAUGCAUGAGGUCCUCGGUUCAAUCCCCUGCACCCCUA